GCUGGCGGCAUGCCUAACACAUGCAAGUCGAACGGCAGCAUAUAGUUCUGUUGAAAGACAGGAUGGGUGGCGAGUGGCGAACGGGUGAGUAACGCGUAGGAAUAUACCUUAAAGUGGGGGACAACUUGGGGAAACUCAAGCUAAUACCGCAUAAGCUCUUAGGAGGGAAGCUGGGGACCGCAAGGCCUGGCGCUUUAAGAUUAGCCUGCGUCCGAUUAGCUAGUUGGCGAGGUAAGGGCUCACCAAGGCAACGAUCGGUAGCUGGUCUGAGAGGAUGGCCAGCCACACUGGGACUGAGACACGGCCCAGACUCCUACGGGAGGCAGCAGUGGGGAAUAUUGGACAAUGGGGGCAACCCUGAUCCAGCAAUGCCGCGUGUGUGAAGAAGGCCUGAGGGUUGUAAAGCACUUUCAGUGGGGAAGAAGGUUGACUGGUUAAGAACUGGUUAACUGGACGUUACCCACAGAAGAAGCACCGGCUAACUCCGUGCCAGCAGCCGCGGUAAUACGGAAGGUGCGA
rnacentral:rRNA from 1 species